CGUAGGGGGCAAGCGUUAUCCGGAAUUAUUGGGCGUAAAGAGUGCGUAGGUGGUUUUGUAAGCGCGAGGUGAAAGGCUAUGGCUCAACCAUAGUAAGCCUUGCGAACUGUAAGACUUGAGUGCAGGAGAGGAAAGUGGAAUUCCUAGUGUAGCGGUGAAAUGCGUAGAUAUUAGGAGGAACACCAGUGGCGAAGGCGACUUUCUGGACUGUAACUGACACUGAGGCACGAAAGCGUGGGGAGCAAACAGGAUUAGAUACCCUGGUAGUCCACGCCGUAAACGAUGAGCACUAGGUGUCGGGGUCGCAAGACUUCGGUGCCGCAGUUAACGCAUUAAGUGCUCCGCCUGGGGAGUACGCACGCAAGUGUG
rnacentral:rRNA from 1 species